rnacentral:rRNA from 1 species
AUACGUAGGUGGCAAGCGUUGUCCGGAAUUAUUGGGCGUAAAGCGCGCGCAGGCGGUUCUUUAAGUCUGAUGUGAAAUCCCACGGCUCAACCGUGGAUGGUCAUUGGAAACUGGAGGACUUGAGUGCAGAAGAGGAGAGUGGAAUUCCAUGUGUAGCGGUGAAAUGCGUAGAGAUAUGGAGGAACACCAGUGGCGAAGGCGACUCUCUGGUCUGCAACUGACGCUGAGGCGCGAAAGCGUGGGUAGCGAACAGGAUUAGAUACCCUGGUAGUCCACGCCGUAAACGAUGAGUGCUAAGUGUUAGAGGGUUUCCGCCCUUUAGUGCUGCAGUUAACGCAUUAAGCACUCCGCCUGGGGAGUACGGCCGCAAGGCUGAA